UCGUCGAGUGGCUGGGCCGGGCCGGGCUCGCCGCGCCCGAGGAGGCCCGGAUCGCCGCCGCGCCGACGUUC
rnacentral:tRNA from 1 species